GGACGCUGCUCCCGGUCGCCGUCGCUCGAGUUUGGUCUCCCGACGCACCCGCGGGUUUUGACAGGAGCCGUGCAUCUUCGUGCCUUCGUGAACACGUGUAGAGUUACCUUCACAGGCCGCCUAGGCCCUGGCCAAUUCGCCCUUCCUCUGCCCGUCCGCUCAGCCGGCUUCCCGCUAACCUUGACAAGCAUUUCUGCGCACGGUGCACGCUUCUUGCAUUUUUUUUUCCUUCUUUGAACUAAAACCGAAACAAACUCCUGUUUUCUCGAGUGGUUUCUGUAGCGGCGCUGAACCGGAACACCCCAGAUGCUUUCUCUCGGUGAGAGGGUGAGCUGGUAGUCAGCCCAUUUCUCACACGCGGAAACUGAGGCCUGCGGAGAGGCGGCCCCGGACAGGUUUUGCACGGAAAAACUUCUCCAAAGGGCUUUGUUCAAGGUGGCCGGCACCCCGUCUGAAGUAGAGUGGCGUUUUCUUCUGAAACACUUGGCAACGUCUUGCAUUGAUCUCACUGAGAGACAAGCACCCCAGCACCCUAGCACCCCCUCUUUCUAGCCACUGAAAUCUACGUGAGAAAUAAAGGCCGUAAAAAGCAACGUCAAAUUGUAUAGUCUUCUGCGGUUUCCAACAGAUUUUCAAAGAUGAGGAAAGUCAGGAAGAUGCGCAUGAGGCCCAGAAAGUUUGUGCUGAGAUUUGAAGAAGGAGAAGAAAAAGAAGGCGGAAUGCUUACCCUGGAAGGGGAACGGCAGCGACAGAGCAAGUCUCAGGAAGGGCCUGGUGUGUGUUAGAGCAGGUGCACAAGUCAUCACCAGAAAAUCUUCAGGAUACAAUACACAAAGAGAGGAGCUGCCAGUGCUGGAAGGACGGGUCCCAGAAGGGGAGCCGUCUCAAGGAAAAGGACCUUAUUGUUCUUUUGUUCCCUGUCAUCCAGGUCUGAUACUCUGUUUGCCAUUUCCUCUCCCUUCCCUUUGAUACUUGUGGCAGGGGAAGUUGUAUCGUUGGUUCUUCCUGCUGACAUCUGGGUCAGGUACUUGACUCAUAUGACCUCAUGACUAUUCUUUUCGGAGAGUUAGAUGGGAUAGGGAGUAAGUUGUCGUCACUGUCCAUGGGUUGAAAACUCUAGAAAGUUUAGGAAUAAAAGAGUUGGAGGAAGAAACGUAUAGACGAAGAGAUGGGACAUGCAUCAAAGCACAGGACAGCGUGCGCUGGGUUGAGAGAGGUCCCGAAAUAGAAAGCGCUUCUCUUGGGAUUCACACUGCAGGCCUUGGCAGGCGGCCCGCCCUUAUCACCGUUAAUUUUCAGACUUUGGAAUUGGGCACCACACCCUGGUGUUAAGCUGUUAACCUCCAGAAUCAAGGCCACAGCUGCCGGGAAGAAUUCCUCUUUCAGGCUGUGGCCUCAGCAGAGUUCUCCGUCUGGACGCGCCACAAAGGGUGAAUGCUCCUAAAUUCAGUGCCAUGAUUCUGGGACUCUAUAUAUACUCAGGCGGCUCCCACUCCUUUCCUCCAGGACGCACACACAGAGCAGAACUGUCCUGGAGUGGAUCAGGGCACUGCAGUUGCAGAGAGAGAGACAGACAGACCGCCCUCCUUUGUUCUACUUCCCGGAAGAGUAAAAUUGGAAAAAAAGCGGAUACUUUGAGGAAAUAAAGGACAUUUCUAGAGCCUGGAUUUUCACAGCAGAAGUCUGCUCUGGGUCUAGAGACAGGUCACAGUUUUCAGAUUCGGGAGAUCUUGAGACUUCCCCCAGUUUUCCUUGCCGUGUGCCGUGACGUUACACGCAGGCCAUCAGCAGGGGGCUCUCUCAACCUUAGCAGCUGCUGUGGAUGCCUGGGAGGCCACGCCAUGCAAAUGAGAGAAGAAACGCAGAUCUGACUGUGAGUUUAAAAUCCAAUGCCCCAAAGUCCUUUGGAGAGAAGAAACCCUAACCCAUCCCGAAAACAGACCACUUCAGCAAGAAGGUAUUUGCUAGCGUUUACAUUAAAUGACACUGUUUAAAUUCCUGGAUCGAGGUCAGCGUAAUGUUUAUGCUCAGAGUAACACGUAGCUAAGUUAUCCUUCAGAGAACCUAAGAAGCAGAACAACUCUCUGACCAGUGGUUUAAUUGUUUCUGGACUGGCGGCUCAACGAUUCCUAAAUAUUGAAUCACAGCACCAUCAAUCACCGUCGGUCCCAGGUCUGAACCAAAGCUUUGCAGAUGCCAAAUCCCUAUGUGGCAUUUGCCCAAAAUCACGCCGGCUAAACACACGGUGCCUCAUUGAUAAAGCGUAAUGUCCGGGUAGCUAAUGGCCGCUAUCUGUUAGGGCCGUUGGAGCUGGCCAACUGCUCUCAAUUAAGAUGGAAAAGGCCGCAUGGUGAAGAUGGAAUCAGGAAAAGGAAACCGGACACUGCCAGAACCACAUCUGUCUGGAGUUAAUAUCUCCUGGGAGUGUUGUAAUUUUCCAUUCUGUAGAUACAGCAGGCUGGGCUCCAGUGCAAGUAUUAGUAGGAAUCAGGGUGCCCUCUUCCUUGGAAGUUCCUAGACAACCUCUGUUCAGGUUUUAUUACUGCCUAACUCUGUUCUUCUUAGCUCUAGGCAAAUAAUCAUGUUCCUUUAUUACAACUUCAGCUGAGACGUGUUACAAUGCAUGUUGCCAUUGAUGGUUUGAUAUCAGGUAUGCUUCUUUGAGGAAAUUACAGGAGAAUGCCCCAAAUUCCCCAACAACAUUUGGGAGGCAUCUUGGACUUUUAUUUGGGGGUGAUGGGGACACACCUAGUCAGUGGGUGAGGUUUUGUAACCUUUUCCAAUUCCAGGGAAGAGGCGGCACCGUAUUGUGACCAAAUUCUACCUCCCACCUGUCCCCUAUAAAAGUGUACCAAACAGAGGAACCAGAUAGCUCCCGGGCAAACCGCACCCUGAGCGCCGAGUGGACUCGAGGGGACGUGGGCUUUGGGAGGUCAGGGUUAGUCGGCAGGAUCUGGAGGCAUGAGCAUGAGUCCUCUUGGUGACAGAAAGGCAAACACAUCUGAGUAGAAACUUUGGGGAAGCCACUCCAGGCUACUGCGGUGGGAAACUCAACGGUUUCUGUUUGUACUGGCUUCGUUCAUUCACAUGUUUCUCAUCAGCUGCAUUCAGACUGAUUCCAUUUGCAGAGCUCUCCUGGCAGUCUUGGUGCAUGGGGCUUGGUGGCAAAAUCCCCGGCAGUUCUGACCCUGCCCAGGCCCUGCUCUUCUCGUGUAGUUUCUUGGCGCUUUAGUGUCUAAGCAGAAAUUGGCUAAGCAGACGCAGCAGUUGAACAAAACCAAAUGUAAAACAGAACGUUGGAACACCGAAUGAAGAGAUAUUUCUAUGUGUGGGGAGCAGGAAUGCAGUGAGGGGCAGUGAGGGAGGGGCUUCCUUAGAACCAGACUGAAUCAGGCUCCCAUCUUGUCAGCAUCCUCGCUAAUUACGCCAGAUCAAAAGUUGUAUCCCCUUUACCCUUCCGUCUCACUAAUGGAUGCCAUAGAAAAUAUUUGGGUCCCUGGCCCUCACAGGAGUUGUGACCCACGACACGCUGACACCACUUAAUUUUUCUCAGAAUCCUUUAACUUAGCUUUGCACACUCCCAUCAGCUUCCUUCUUAGCACCCACCUCCCCAGCCCCAACUGUUUCACAUGUGUGGCUCAUCUUUUCUUCCUCCACUUGACGCUGACUUUUCUUGUACCGUUAGGGAGGAUGCUUGUCAUCCCACCCUUUAUAUCGACACGGCAGGGAGAGGCCAUCCAGUUGGAGAAACGUCCAAGCCCUCUCUUCCCACUGUUGAGACUGGGAGAAAGGCACUGCUGUCCACAGCCCUUGGCCGUUUCCCAGGGACUGACAGCAUGUGUUCUGUGGUUCUUGUCCUGCAUGUUGCUGUCUGGAUUUGAUUUCUGCAUGUGUGGGUCAUGGGGUCUGAAAUUAGGGUGGAGACCUAAGUAUUAGGAAGGAGAGAGUCCAUUGGCUUCAGGUUCAAGACAUUGAUCCAGUCCAGUAAAACUGGUAUGCACACGCACAAACACGUACGUGCACGCACUUCCACGCACACACAGGGUGGUCUCACAGUCACGCAGUUCAAAACGCAAAAGGCAAAAAGGGGCAUAUAUAUCUUCCCGCACGCCUGUUCCCCAGCUUCUUAGUCCCCUUUGUAGAUCCCACCAGGGUUUACAGUGUCUCCUGUCCCUGCAGACAUGUUUUAAACAUACAUUAGCAAAUAAAUCUUACGUUGCCCCACAGUUGGUAGCAUACUAUACAUAGUGUUCAACAUCCUUUUGUUUUUUUUUCACCUUUUAAAAUGGCUGCAUAGUGUAUCAUUGAAUGAAUUUCCAUAAUUUAUUUAACUAGUCCCAUAU